UACAGAGGGUGCGAGCGUUAAUCGGAAUUACUGGGCGUAAAGCGUGCGUAGACGGUAGCGUAAGUCAGAUGUGAAAGCCCCGGGCUCAACCUGGGAACUGCAUUUGAGACUGCUCUGCUCGGGUGCGGAAGAGGGAAGCGGAAUUUCCGGUGUAGCGGUGAAAUGCGUAGAUAUCAGUCGGAACACCGGUGGCGAAGGCGGCUUCUUGGGCCCUACCUGACGCUGAGGCGCGAAAGCCAGGGGAGCGAACGGG
rnacentral:rRNA from 1 species